rnacentral:rRNA from 1 species
GAUGAACGCUGGCGGCGUGCUUAACACAUGCAAGUCGAACGGUGAAGGCGGAGCUUGCUCUGCUGGAUCAGUGGCGAACGGGUGAGUAACACGUGAGCAAUCUGCCCCUGACUCUGGGAUAAGCGCUGGAAACGGCGUCUAAUACUGGAUACGAGCUGCGACGGCAUCUUCAGCAGCUGGAAAGAACUUCGGUCAGGGAUGAGCUCGCGGCCUAUCAGCUUGUUGGUAAGGUAACGGCUCACCAAGGCGUCGACGCAUAGCCGGUCUGAGAGGGUGACCGGCGACGCUUGGACUGGGACACGGCCCAGACUGCUACGGGAGGCAGCGGUGGGGAAGAGUGGACAAGGGGCGAAAGCCUGAUCAAGCAAUGCCGCGGGAGUGAUGAAGGCCUUAGGGUAGGAAAGCUCUCUUACCCGGGAGGAUAAUGACAGUACCGGGAGAAGAAGCUCCGGCUAACUCCGUG